AAGGAGGAGCAGAACUGGAGGCUGCUCUCCUGGAAGAUAGAGAGCUGAGAAUGCAAAGGGAGCUCUGCAUGUUGAGAGCAAGCGUGGACGCUAUGCUGUUGCCCCACCUGGAGGGCAUUGAGUCGGCUCAGGCCGCCUGGCAGGUGCUGAGGAGUCUGUGUGAUAGCUCAGCAGGAGCCCAGGGCCUGGAGAAAGCCGAGAGCAGGCAGGAAGCUGAGAGCCCAGAGGGGGCUGCUGGCCAUGUUCCUAAAGUUACAGCUGGGAGUAGCUGCUUUGUCUCCGAGGGGCCGUGUGAUGUUGAGGCCUACAACCAGAGUGCUGGGGAGCGUGCAGGCCCAGGCUGUGCACCCAAAGGUGGGGGUGCUGGGAACAAAGAAAUGGCUGAAGAGGGAGCUGUGAGAGCUGUUGCUACGCGUCGCCGCUGUUAUCGCUGUGGCUCCCCCUCCCAUCUGGUGAGAGAAUGUCCAGUGGAGGAACAGCCGAAGGCCGUUUCCCGUAGCAACCAGAUAAAGAGCUCGUCUUCAAAGCGUGGGAAAGGCA